rnacentral:rRNA from 1 species
AUCUUUCACAAUGGGGGAAACCCUGAUGCAGCGACGCCGCGUGGGCGAAGAAGGCNUUNNGGUCGNANAGCCCUUUUCUGGGUNNNNNGGAAGGACGGUCGCCCAGGCAGAAGUCUCGGCUAACUACGUGACAACAGCCGCGGUAAAACGUAGGAGGCAAGCGUUAUCCGGAGUUACUGGGCGUAAAGCGCGCGCAGGCGGUUAGGAAAGUUGGGUGUGAAAGCUCCCGGCUAAACCGGGAGAGUGCAUUCAAGACUGCCUGGCUAGAGGACGGUAGAGGGGCGCAGAAUUCGGAGUGUAGCGGUGAAAUGUGUAGAGAUCCCGAGGAAUACCAGUGGGGAAGCCGGCGCCCUGGGCCGAACCUGACGCUGAGGCGCGACAGCGUGGGGAGCGAACGGG